rnacentral:rRNA from 1 species
UACGUAGGGCGCAAGCGUUAUCCGGAAUUAUUGGGCGUAAAGAGCUCGUAGGCGGUUUGUCGCGUCUGCCGUGAAAGUCCGGGGCUCAACUCCGGAUCUGCGGUGGGUACGGGCAGACUAGAGUGAUGUAGGGGAGACUGGAAUUCCUGGUGUAGCGGUGAAAUGCGCAGAUAUCAGGAGGAACACCGGUGGCGAAGGCGGGUCUCUGGGCAACAACUGACGCUGAGGAGCGAAAGCAUGGGGAGCGAACAGG